CUUGUGCUUUAAAGAAGUCAAGUCUUGUUCUAGUGUUUGGUUAACUGAUGACUUUACAUGCAUUUCAAAUGUGGUCCCAAAUUUAAUGAUAGUUGGGACCUUUAGUCCAUCCGUCUUCUCAUGGAAGAAAAUAACGUUACUUAUCUACAGUUCUUUUCAUCAACUGAAUAAACACAGGAAACUCUAAUUUCCCUUGUAAAUUAUGAUUUAGGACUGUUUUGACUCAUGAUUCUGUAUUAUUUUGUGCAGCUGCUUGAGG
rnacentral:misc_RNA from 1 species